GUAUUUUACCGAUUCUCGUUUUUCCCUGUGUGACAACUAACUACAAGUUUCUUCUAAAAAAAGGAAUCCCACUUGUAUUCAAGCAAAAAAUCAUAUCAAUUUAACACAUUUUUAAUAAAUAAACGUGAAUAAUUGCAUAAAUUUUAAAAAUUCUCAGGCGAAUGUUUACAUUGAGUCAUUAAACGUCAUCAAAUACAUUGUUCAUAUCUAUAUCGCUUCCAAAUCGCUUUUUUAGAUUUUAAAUAGAAAUAUGUCUGGCAAUAACACAUUAAUAGCGAAUUCUAAAAUUGGGGAAAAAUUCGGAAAGAGUUGCAAAGAACGUUACAUUGAAAUCGAAAUAGUAUGUGAAAGAGAUUUUCAAUCUCCUAAACAAUUCAUCGCUAUGUUAACAGAUUGCCUGAUUCAUUGGCAAACGCAAUCAAUCAACCAUAUUCAGUUCAAAGUGCCAAUAACAAUGGAGAAAGGUGCGCACAUUUUAACCAUUCUGUAUCAAAAUGGGUUCGGGUUUUUAAAAUUUGACGAUGGUUGUUGCGUUGUUUUCAAAAACCUUGAAAAUGAUGCGGUCGUCCGAGUUGUUCAACAGCAGUUCAACGAAUUUCGAAUUGGGAAUUAAAUAAUAUGAACAUUCACAGGAUGAUAGUGGCGGCUCUAGUUCAAUCAAUGAAUCGAUGACACGAUCUCCGCAGCCAUCACACACAUCAGAAGCAAAUGAUUCGGCUUUUGAUGUCAAUCAAGCAGGCCCUUCCAACCAGGCCUUUGGCUCUGUUUCAAUCAAUACACCGGUCGCACGAUCUCCGCUCUUAUCGCACUCGUCAGAAUCAAAUGAUUCCGAAAAUACAGGUAUAUUAACACAAGCAUCACCGCAUUUGCAAACACCCAGCCCAGGUGAACCAUCAGAACCAUCACCUAUUUCAUCAUCAGACUUCCAUUUGAAUGAAAACAGUAACAGCCGUGAACCUGUUUUCAGUCACUCUGACUAAGUUCUGUGUGAUAGAAGUUGUCAUUAAAAGACAGGUGAAUUGUAGUCGAUGGUUGAUUAAAGACUGACGAUUUUAUUCAUGCACUUAAAGACUAUAUACAAUAAAUUGCUUAGCUGACUUAUUUAAAUUCUCCGAAUUCUAUUCAGGUUAUUGUUGCACUUAUAACUAAAUAAUAAUUAUUUCUUGCUUAUGAUUCAUUAUUUCGUGCGAUUUCAUUAUUGUUCGAUUCCAGUUAAUUCAAAAUUAUGUCAAUAGACACACUCAGAUGAUUCCAAUCAACAAGUUCCCCAUAUAGAUUGAUUAAUUGAAUACAAUACAAGCUAUAAACUUGCUGCAAACAACUAAUUUCAUUGUAUGUUCAUUACGUAAACCAAAAAGUAAAAUUAUUAAACGUUUAUUUCGAAUAUAUACAUUGUCAUUUAAAAGGCAGAUUUAACACAAUUAAAUCUUCUUUUUUGGGAAAA